CGUUAACAAACGCUUCCCCCCUCCCCAAAUCGGGCCGCUCGCCCUCAGCCCCGCUCCCCAGACUUCCAGGGAAAACAGUUUGGCUCCAUUGUCGGGUUGCCAAGACCGCCUUUUGAGAAAGGGAGCCCGGCUCGCCUCUGAUCAAACUCAAAGGCACCAAAAUGACAUUUUCUCCCAGGACCCUAAUGCACGUUCACAUCGUCUCUGGGUGCCUUCAGCCUUUCCCUGCACUCUCCUGCAAUGCUCUAGUGAGGUGUUUGGUGAAACAGACACACAGCACAGCUCCUACACCUCCUGCAUUCCAUUCUCUCCAAAGCCUUGCACCCAAGUUUCCCUGCCAUGUGGAUGCGCAGUAGCAAUAGCUUUCAAUAGGUCUGUGCCCUUGACAGUAGGUAUUGCAGUAGGGAAAAAGAAGUGAACAUAUGAUUACUGGGUCUGGGGUACAUUUUAAAUAUGUUUUCCUAAACAAACAAACAAACAAACAAACAAAAAACCUAAAGAACAAGAUAUACAAUAUACAGUAAGUGUGGUGAGGCAGUGGAACAGAUCUUGCAGAGAGAUUGUGCACCCAGCUAUUGUAAGCAAUCACUGUCUGUAAGUAGACAUCCAGGCUUGGGCUUUCCUGGUCAAAACAGGGAUUUUUCCAAGCAUCUACAUUGUAACAGAGAUCUGCAUCUUUAUAUAUAAAUCUGAACCUUUCUCUAUCUAUCUAUCUAUCUAUCUAUCUAUAUAUAUAUAAGGGAAAAGUUUUUACAAUCAGGAUGGUGUGGUACUGGCACAGGUUGCCCAGGGAGGUCGUGGAUACCCCAUCCCUGGAGACACUCAAGGUCAGGCCGGAGGGGUUCUGAGCACCCUGAUGUAGUUGUAGAUGUCCCUGUUCAUUGCAGGGGUGUUGGUCUGGAUGGCCUUUAAGGUUCCUUCCAACUCAAAUGAUUCUAUGAUUCUUACUGUGAGUAAAGUCCCAGAUCAUCACUUGAAUCUGUUCUAUGUUCUUGUUGCCUUUGAUGUCCCAUUGCACAUACCUGCCUAUGUUAAGGACACACACUAAGGACACACUGUGUACACCACAGCUUCUGUAGGCAGCCUUUGCUAGGGGG
ensembl:lncRNA